CAUACCUAUUCGAAGGGAUAGGGUCGGUUUGGCCGGAUUUCACACAGGUGUUGCAUGGCUGUCGUCAGCUCGUGUCGUGAGGUGUUGGGUUAAGUCCCGCAACGAGCGCAACCCUCAUCCUUAGUUACCAUCAGGUUAUGCUGGGGACUUUAAGGAAACUGCCAGUGAUAAACUGGAGGAAGGUGGGGAUGAUGUCAAGUCAUCAUGGCCCUUAUGGAGUGGGCUACACACGUGCUACAAUGGUGAUUACAAUGGGCUGCAAGGUCGCAAGGCUGAGCUAAUCCUAAAAAAUCAUCUCAGUUCGGAUUGUUCUCUGCAACUCGAGAGCAUGAAGUUGGAGUCGCUAGUAAUCGUGGAUCAGCAUGCCACGGUGAAUACGUUCUCGGGUCUUGUACACACUGCCCGUCACGCCAUGGGAAUUGGUUUCACUCGAAGCU
rnacentral:rRNA from 1 species